rnacentral:rRNA from 1 species
AUGGCCAUUUUGCCCCAGCGCCGAGCCCUCAUCAUCAUCACAAAGCUCCGGCGCCAUCACCGAUCCACCACCAUCAUCACAAAGCUCCGGCGCCAUCGCCGAUCCACCACCAUCAUCACAAAGCUCCAGCACCAUCGCCGAUCCACCACCAUCAUCACAAAGCUCCGGCGCUGUCGCCGAUCCAUCACCAUCAUCACAAAGCUCUGGCGCCGGCACCGAUCCAUCACCAUCACCACGCCCCGGCACCGUCGCCGAUCCAUCACCAUCACCACGCCCCGGCGCCGUCGCCGAUCCAUCACCAUCACCACUCCCCAGCACCGUCGCCGAUCCAUCACCACGCCCCGGCGCCGUCACCGAUUCACCACCAUCAUCACAAAGCUCCGGCGCUGUCGCCGAUCCAUCACCACACCCCGGCGCCAUUGCCGAACCAUCACCAUCACCACGCCCCGGCGCCGUCGCCGAUCCAUUACCAUCGUCACCAUGCUCCAUCGCCGUCCCCGACACACCUCAACACCGACGAGGUCGACACUUAGAGUGAUAUCGUCUCCUAUGUAUAUCUUCAUCUUAUUUUUCCCGGGGAAGUGUUUAAUAAAAUGA